UCAAAUCUGCCGAAUUUUAGUGAUUAAGCUCAUGGUUGUUAAGGAAUUUUAUAAGUUUGUUGAAAAGUAUGUGGUGUGGCUGCUGAAAUAGAAAUUUUAUUGAAGAAAAACAAAAACCCUUGAGAGCACAGGCGCAAACAAGGAACGACCGGAAAAACCAAAACCAGAAAAAGACAAAAAAAACCCAAGCGAAAAGAGAAAGAAAACAACAAGAACGAACUAAAGACGGGACCGCAAAGGGUCACAACCGAGGCCGAGCAAAGUCCACGCCAGAGCCGUCCCGGGUAGAGCACAAAAGCACCAGAACGAGCGCCAGAGAAAUCAAGCGCCAGAGGAAUCAAGCGCCAGAGGGAUCAAGCGCCAGAGAGAUCAAGCGCCAGAGAGAUCAAGC
rnacentral:lncRNA from 1 species